GAUGCAAAUUUGGUCAAUUUUGUUCCUUGGUAAGGAUGAGGUCGCCGGUUCGAAUCCGGCCAUCAGCUCCA
rnacentral:tRNA from 1 species